UACGGAGGGUGCAAGCGUUAAUCGGAAUUACUGGGCGUAAAGCGCACGCAGGCGGUCUGUCAAGUCGGAUGUGAAAUCCCUGGGCUCAACCGGGGAACUGCAUCUGAAACUGGCAGGCUAGAGUCUCGAAGAGGGGGGUAGAAUUCCAGGUGUAGCGGUGAAAUGCGUAGAGAUCUGGAGGAAUACCGGUGGCGAAGGCGGCCCCCUGGACGAAGACUGACGCUCAGACGCGAAAGCGUGGGGAGCAAACAGG
rnacentral:misc_RNA from 1 species